CUUCGGCUGCUGGGAAGCAGCGGAGUAGCAGCGUCCGGGUGGGGCGGGCCGGCUGGUGCCGGGGACUUUCUUCCGCCUGGUCAGGCAGAUUCCUGUUUUUUGUUUUUCAAAAUUCAGAAAGUAUCUCUCAAUAUUUGUCCAGAAGCGUCUGAAACAUACUUCCCUGGUCCUUCUUUCACUUUGUUUUAUUUCUAUGUGGACAAACAAUGGGAAAAUGCCGCGCGUCUAGCCAGGCAGAUAAGAAAACAGCCAUACCGUCAGGCCCCCUACCCGGCGCUGUUAUAAAUAGCGCCCGCCAGCCAUCAUCGUUCUCUUGGCGCGGUGGGUUCGUGCUUUGGGUGUGUUGCAUGGUUAUUGUCUUUAUAGCGCCUGCUGCAGACCCAGCUGCCGAGUGAUGGGGAGCAGGGGAUCCCUACGGCCUGCGCUGCCUUUGCGCAGCAGGCAGCGUGCGGGUAUAUCGCGGCCCCCAGUCGAGCUGGGUGAACUAACAUUGCAGAUAAGAAUUUCUAGUGUCGCUGCUUGGAACCGACCUACCUCGUGGCCGGGGGAACUCGGCUAGCCUCGCCACAGCCUCUGCUGAUUCAUCGCAGUAUCACAACGGAAUUGUAAGACGUCCAUCGCUGUAUUAUCCUUGAGUAAAGAAUGAGCUCUGGAAGCCCCAGCCAGGGACAAUGCCCCUUCACAGAGAUUCUGCACUAGCCUGAGUGAAGGCGUAAGGUUUGGAGCCUUCCCCUUCGGGGAGAUGCGCUGUAUAGCUAUCACGCCUAUAUAGUGACUCCUGCGACUGGCCUUCAGGCUGGGAGAGGUGGAGAGCCAUGCCUGAUCUCCUUCGUUGCUAUGGAAUUUGCUGACGAAAAGAAUAUCUUCUGCCUGGUGCUGGGCAUAUCCUAAGAACUUAAAACUUUCCUGCAUUACCCUGUGUGAUCAACUGUCAACUUACUGGGGGAAGAAUGCUUGAAAUUUGGGGUCACUUCAGGUAGAUAGCUUCUACUUUCUAUAUUUGUCUUACACAAGUAUCUGGUUUUAUCAAAGUAAUUCUAAUAAAAUAUUUUAAAGUAAA